rnacentral:rRNA from 1 species
AUUGAACGCUGGCGGCAAGCCUAACACAUGCAAGUCGAACGAGUGGCGGACGGGUGAGUAAUGUCUGGUAAACUGCCUGAUGGAGGUGGAUGACUACUGGAAACGGUAGCUAAUACCUCAUACCAUCGUAUGUGCCCAUAUGGGAUUGGCUAGUAGGUGGGGUAAUGGCUCACAUGGGCGACGAUCCCUAGCUGGUCUGAGAGGAUGACCAGCGACACUGGAACUGAGAAAAGGUCCAGACUCCUAAGGGAGGCAGCAGUGGGGAAUAUUGCAGAAAGGGCGCAAGCCUGAUGAAGCCAUGCCGCGGGUAGCAAGAAGGCCUUGAGGGUGUAAAGUACUUAAAGCGGGGAGGAGUUACCCGCAGAAGAAGCACCGGCUAACUCCGUGCCAGCAGCCGCGGUAAUAC